GAUGAAGAACGCAGCGAAAUGCGAUAAGUAAUGUGAAUUGCAGAAUUCAGUGAAUCAUCGAAUCUUUGAACGCACAUUGCGCCCAUUAGCAUUCUAGUGGACAUGCCUGUUCGAGCGUCAUUUCAACCCUUAAGCCCUGUUGCUUAGCGUUGGGAGCCUACAGUACUGUAGCUCCCCAAAGUUAGUGGCGGAGUCGGUUUCACACUCUAGACGUAGUAAUUUUUUCUCGUCUGUAGUUGAGCCGGUCCCCUGCCGUAAAACACCCAAUUUAUCAAGGUUGACCUCGGAUCAGGUAGGAAUACCCGCUGAACUUAAGCAUAUCAAUAAGCGGAGGA
rnacentral:misc_RNA from 1 species